UUCAGUUACAAAAGUUUAAAGGGGAGAGCCACAAAACCACCUUAAAUGUCCCCUUUCAUCAUAAGAAAAAAAAAGAAAAGAAAAAGAAAAAGAAAGGCCAUUCUAUGAAAUACUUGAUAAUGCUACUCUGAUAAGUCUGAAGAAGUGUGAGUCAGUACAGAAUCAUUCUCUCAACUCGGAACAAAAAACUUCAUGGAAUUACUAUGAUUUUAAUCCAAAGAGUUGGGUGUUUGGCAUUCCACAGAGCUUUGGGGUGUCCUACCAACCAGGGGAGCCACUCAUGAAAACAACCUAUUGUUGAAUUUUUGGUCUUGGCUCUAUUGGGUUGAUAAAUAGCAGUCAAUUUUUAUUAAGACCCUUCUUGAUUGGAGAAAGGAUUAGUGGAUUAAGGUGGGGUCACAUUCUAGCAGAGUUGACUGGUUGGAGUCAUGGAUUGAACAACAAGAAACUUGAAUCUCAAAACAAAUGAAGAUGCCGUGCUCUUUUAGACACUCCUGACAGGAGAAAAACAUCCUAAAACUCUUAGGAAUCUUGAAAUACCACUGUCCAGUUCCUUUACAUUCAGUGGAACAGACUGUAUUAAUAUUAUUGUUGUUAAUGCUUGCUGCUAUAACAAGUAAACCCAGAAUUACAUAAAGACUCAAACAUGGAAGAAGUUUACUUUUCUUUCAGAUAAAAGAUGAGAUGGCUGAUCCCGAUUGAUACACAGCUCUCUUUCAAAUCAUGACUCCAGGAUGCAGGUUUCUUCCAUCAUCAACACUUGGCUUCCAAAACCGUCAUCCUGAAUCUGUGUCAAACAAAUGGAAAAGGAAAGAACAUGAUGAGUGGUAUAGGAGAGAUUUUUUAGGGCCAGGUCUUAAAGUGAAGUCUAUCUCUUAGGUUCAAAUUCCUCUGGCUAGAGCUCAGUCCUACCACAGCUGGUGGAAAAGGCAGGUGGGCGUGUAGUCUAGCUCUGAGACAAGGAAACAUAGGAUAUAGGCUAAGGGAACAGCUAAUCCUACUAUGUUUUCUUAGCUGAAAAAUCCUACUUGCUUAGUACACUUUCACUGAUGUUUGGCUUUAUGAGCAAAUGCACUGGAACAUGGUAGGGAGAAGACUUAGCUAUUUACAGACAUGUGAAUCAGAGCACAGCUCCCGUGCAACUCAAGAGCGUCUCAGGGUGGGUUCUACUGAUAGAUGAAUGGACAUCUAGAGGUGCCUGUUUGGAAACUAAGACUCUGAAAAGAGAGGAAGAGGGUGUCAGGAGGAGGCAGCGAAGCAUUAUCCUGGUCAGAGGUUACCACCUGCAGGAGCACUAGAAACCUGGGAUACUUUUCCAGCUGUUGUUUUAGCUAAGAUCUAGGAUGUGGACAACUGUCAUCACCAUAGUAUAAGAAUGAUGGCAGCCCUGGGGUUAAAAAUUGCAAGCCCGAGCAAAGUUGCAUUUGUCUGUUCCCAAACCUGUAUUAUUUCCAUCUAUCAUUUCGCUCCAGUCAGGCAAACUGAUUUAUUAGUUAUAGCCUCUGAACCUCAAUUAAUUUCACUUAGGGCAUUUUCACACUUGUACAAUAAAUGUUUGAAUUAAGACAUUUCUUUUCUUCUGAAAUUGAAUUGCAUGUUAACUGGUUAUUGGCUGUCGCUGGUGGUCUACACAAUUACAGAUAAGAGCAUUGAUCUGGCAAGAAAACAAAUUGGUUCCUAAAAGCGGGCAGUUUGGAUUUGACAGCUGCAGAUGAUUACGUGUCUCUCUAAUGGAUACUGUGCAUUACCAUUGGAGGUGUGAAAGAUCUGCAAAUCCCUUUCCUUGGUUGGCUGCUUCUACCAAGGCUGCUUAAAUCUGCCUACCCCCUUCCGUGCAGAUGGCUGAAUUGACUGAUAGGGAACAGUGCCCCAAAUGAACUGAAUGGCUGGUGAGUUACUGAUAUCUAGAUCACACCUUGAGAUAGGCGUAAGUUUCUGAAAGAAGCCUUCUUGAUUUGAGCAGAUAGCCUUAGAAGUGAGGUUGGU